rnacentral:rRNA from 1 species
AUCGAACGCUGGCGGCAGGCCUAACACAUGCAAGUCGAGCGAGCGGCGGACGGGUGAGUAAUGUCUGGGAAACUUCCUGAUGACGGGGGCUUACUCCUGGGAACGGUAGCUAAUUACCCCUUCUGUCAGAUGAGCCCAGAUGGGAUUAGCUUGUUGGUGGGGUAACGGCCUACCUAGGCGACGAUCCCUAGCUGGUCUGAGAGGAUGACCAGCCACACGGGAACUGAGACACGGUCCAGACUCCUACGGGAGGCAGCAGUGGGGAAUAUUGCACAAUGGGCGCAAGCCUGAUGCAGCCAUGCCGCGUGUGUGAAGAAGGCCUUCGGGUUGUAAAGCACUUUCAGCGGGGAGGCGUUACCCGCAGAAGAAGCACCGGCUAACUCCGUGCCAGCAGCCGCGGUAAUAC